AGAGUUUGAUCGUGGCUCAGAGUGAACGCUGGCGGCGUGGCUAAGACAUGCAGUCGAACGGACCGAAAGGUCAGUGGCGAACGGGUGAGUACAAGUUAGAUAACCUACCCCUCUCUGGAGGAUAGCCGUGGGAAACUGCGGGUAAUACUUCAUAAUAUAGCGGGCUGAUGGCCUGUUAUCAAAGUUCUGGCGGUGAGGGAUGGGUCUAACUCCUAUCAGCUAGUUGGUGGGGUAAUGGCCUACCAAGGCGACGACGGGUAACUGGUCUGAGAGGACGGCCAGUCACAUCGGAACUGAGAAACUGUCCGGACACCUACGGGUGGCUGCAGUAACGAAUCUUCCCCAAUGGGCGCAAGCCUGAGGGAGCGACGCCGCGUGCCAGAGGAAGCCCUUCGGGGUGUAAAUGGCUUUUAGGGUCAGGUAAUACUGAACCGGUCCUGAAUAAGGGGCGACUAACUUCGUGCCAGCAGUCGCGGUAAUACGAAGGCCCCAAGCGUUACUCGGAUUUACUGGGCUUAAAGGGCGUGUAGGCGGAUGAUCAGGUGCCUUGUGAAAUCCCACGGCUCAACCGUGGAAAUGCAGGGUAGACCAGUCAUCUUGAGCAGGCUAGGGGCAACUGGAACUCCAGGUGGAGCGGUGAAAUGCGUAGAUAUCUGGGGGAACGCCGAAGGUGAAGACAGGUUGCUGGGGCUUUGCUGACGCUGAGGCGCGAAAGCGUGGGGAGCAAACGGGAUUAGAUACCCCGGUAGUCCACGCUGUAAACGAUGUGUACUAGAUUCGGGAGGUUCUCACGCCGUCCGGGUCGAAAAGAAAUCGGUAAGUACACCGCCUGGGGACUACGGCCGCAAGGCUAAAACUCAAACGAAUUGACGGGGGCUCACACAAGCGGUGGAGCAUGUGGCUUAAUUCGAAGCAACGCGAAGAACCUUACCUGGGUUUGACAUGCAUGGAUUAACUCUAUGAAAGUAGAGCCAGGCCCUUCGGGGUACAACAUGCACAGGUGUUGCACGGCUGUCGUCAGCUCGUGCCGUGAGGUGUCAGGUUAAGUCCCUCAACGAGCGAAACCCUUAUUGUUAGUUGCUACCGGGUCAUGCCGAGCACUCUAGCAAGACUGCCAGCGUAAGCUGGAGGAAGGUGGGGAUGACGUCAAGUCAUCGUGGCCUUUAUGCCCAGGGAUGCACACGUGCUACAAUGGCAACUAUAAAGCGACGCAAUACCGCGAGGUGGAGCAAAUCGCAGAAAAGUUGUCUCAGUUCGGAUUGUAGUCUGCAACUCGACUACAUGAAGUUGGAAUCGCUAGUAAUCGCGGAUCAGCUAUGCCGCGGUGAAUGUGUUCCUGAGCCUUGUACACACCGCCCGUCAAGUCAUGGGAGCUGGUAAUGCCCAAAGCCGCCCUUCAAUAAGGCGUCUACGGCAGGACUGGUGACUGGGACUAAGUAGUAACAAGGUA
rnacentral:rRNA from 1 species